GAUGAACGCUGGCGGCGUGCCUAAUACAUGCAAGUCGAGCGAACAGACGAGGAGCUUGCUCCUCUGACGUUAGCGGCGGACGGGUGAGUAACACGUGGAUAACCUACCUAUAAGACUGGGAUAACUUCGGGAAACCGGAGCUAAUUCCGGAUAAUAUAUUGAACCGCAUGGUUCAAUAGUGAAAGACGGUUUUGCUGUCACUUAUAGAUGGAUCCGCGCCGCAUUAGCUAGUUGGUAAGGUAACGGCUUACCAAGGCAACGAUGCGUAGCCGACCUGAGAGGGUGGUCGGCCACCCUGGAACUGAGACACGGUCCAGACUCCUACGGGAGGCAGCAGUAGGGAAUCUUCCGCAAUGGGCGAAAGCCUGACGGAGCAACGCCGCGUGAGUGAUGAAGGUCUUCGGAUCGUAAAACUCUGUUAUUAGGGAAGAACAAAUGUGUAAGUAACUAUGCACGUCUUGACGGUACCUAAUCAGAAAGCCACGGCUAACUACGUG
rnacentral:rRNA from 1 species